CUGGUUAAAUUGUAAGUCGCCUAGGUUUGACACUAGAUAAUUUACUGAAAACACUCUCAAGUUUAAAGUGGAAGACUUAGUGAAUUUUAAAAAAAUGUUUUAAUCGUUGAUUCUUAAUUCGUUGGAAAAGAAAUAAAACAAAGAGUCACCAGAAAUAGGAACUAGAAAGACUAAAAACAGUACAGGUAGUUAUUCGGGAGGAAGGCUCCGCCUCAGACCCCCGGCCUUAUAUGCCAGAUUUCAAAUUUGGGACAAUUUACACCCCUGCCAAUCCUCGCGCCUUUGUCAACGUGUGAUGACACAUCAGUGAUAGAUCUCUGACCUCAUUUUCCAGACCUAGACGUCCAAAUUUCAAAACAAGCACAGGACCUCCAACUGGUGUCACCAUUCAGUUGGAAACACAGUUGAUGUGACAAUGGUUGUGGCUGUGGAUCGU